AUACGGAGGCUGCAAGCGUUAUCCGGAAUCAUUGGGUUUAAAGGGUCCGUAGGCGGGCGAUUAAGUCAGAGGUGAAAUCCCACAGCUCAACUGUGGAACUGCCUUUGAUACUGGUUGUCUUGAAUUUUAGUGAAGUAGAUAGAAUAUGUAGUGUAGCGGUGAAAUGCAUAGAUAUUACGUAGAAUACCGAUUGCGAAGGCAGUCUACUAACUAACAAUUGACGCUAAUGGACGAAGCGUGGGGAGCGAACAGGAUUAGAAACCCUAGUAGUCC
rnacentral:rRNA from 1 species